CGCCUGGGCUUCGACGGUGUCACCGCCCGCCUGGUGGCCGACCCCAGUGUCCCCGACUGUCACAUCAUCGAUGUCGAGGUCACGGCCGUCCCCGAGCGCGGCCGCUCCCUGACCGUCACCAGCACGCGCCGCAACCCCGCCGAGCCCGGCCGCGUCACGGGCAGCGCCACCCGCCACAGCUUCUGGAGCAGCGUGCAGGCCUGCACCGGACACGGCGGUUGUGUCAAGCUCUGCUGAGGAGGAACGGCGGAAAAACCCGCGGGGGACAAUUUGGGGACGAUUUGGGGACGAUUUGGGGACAUUCUGGGGACAAUUUGGGGACAAUAAAACCUGGC